rfam:Triticum urartu cultivar G1812 contig433759, whole genome shotgun sequence.
UAGAUACUCCAUCCAUCCCAAAAUCCUUGUCUUAGAUUUGUCUAUAUAGAGAUGUACCAAGUCACAUUUUAGUAUUAGAUACAUCCAUAUUUAGACAAAUCUAAGACAAGAAUUUUAGAACAUAGGGAGUAUUUU